rnacentral:rRNA from 1 species
AUUGAACGCUGGCGGCAGGCUUAACACAUGCAAGUCGAGCGGGGUGAUGGUGCUUGCACUAUCACUUAGCGGCGGACGGGUGAGUAAUGCUUAGGAAUCUGCCUAUUAGUGGGGGACAACAUCUCGAAAGGGAUGCUAAUACCGCAUACGUCCUACGGGAGAAAGCAGGGGAUCACUUGUGACCUUGCGCUAAUAGAUGAGCCUAAGUCGGAUUAGGUAGUUGGUGGGGUAAAGGCCUACCAAGGCGACGAUCUGUAGCGGGUAUGAGAGGAUGAUCCGCCACACUGGGACUGAGACACGGCCCAGACUCCUACGGGAGGCAGCAGUGGGGAAUAUUGGACAAUGGGGGGAACCCUGAUCCAGCCAUGCCGCGUGUGUGAAGAAGGCCUUAUGGUUGUAAAGCACUUUAAGCGAGGAGGAGGCUCUUUUGGUUAAUACCCAAGAUGAGUGGACGUUACUCGCAGAAUAAGCACCGGCUAACUCUGUGCCAGCAGCCGCGGUAA